rnacentral:lncRNA from 1 species
UUUGUUUAAUUAUUUUUACCCCCAAUUUUGGUUGAAGAUCUUUUUCGUGUUUAGGAUAAUUUGCUAAGGUACAUAAUCCAAUUUGAAAUCAGUAAAUGGGUAAACAUAGUAGUUUUAGUUGUGCUUAUGUUUCACAUAUCUUUGCAACUUCGAUUGAAGAAUUUGCUUUAUUCCAAUAUACUCCUUUUAUCUAUAAUAAUUAUGAACAUCCUUCAAAGAAUCAAUUACAACUGCAAAAAUAAGGCCUUUUCUGAGGAAGAAUACAAUUCCUACAAGUGCAAUAUUAUAUGCUAGCAAGCAACGCUACCCUAAAAUAUUGGUCUUCAAAUAGAGCUUUCUUGAAACUUUUUUACAGGUAACCAGAGUUUUUAUUUGACAAUCCUUAGCACAAAAUUUAUGCCUUGGCUGGCGCAGGAAACGGAGCACCACCAGUAGUUGGCCUACAAACAGCACAAAGUCCAUUAUAAACAAAACAAAAAUCUCUAAAAGGUUUUCCCCAAAAUGACCAGGGAACAGAGAUGGGCCAAUAAAAUGAAUUUGCCUUUAGAAUUUUUUUAAAAAAACUCAGGGCUUACACAUUAAAUAGAAUAACAAAUUUGAAAAGUUGGGAAAUAGCAAAUCAAUAAAUAUGUGAAAACUCAGGGCUUCAGAGACUACUUAUUUUUAAUCUAAAACAAGGUUCAAAUGGUUCUCUCUACUUAUUUUUAAUCUAAACCAAGGUUCAUUAAAACUUAAAACUGAAUUGGACCAUUCAUGUGUGACAUCACACUUGGAUACAUUAUGACAAAUGUAUAUCCAACAACUAGAAAGAAUUCCUACACAAGUUAAAAAGAUCUUCCUUAAUUUUGAUUGCUUACAUAGUCUCCAGAUUUGAUAGGCUUUCAAGAUCAUUUGGUAUCUCCCCUUCCAGCUUGUUAAAGCUAAGGUCUCUGCCAAUAAAUAAAACAGAGAGCUCAUACUUAAGAAGGAAACAGGAACACAAUUCAGAGAGCUUAUAAUUGAGUUAAAUUGCUCAAGACAGAAAUGCUAGAAGGUAUUGGCCCUUCAAAACCACUAAACCAAUGAAUUUUAGUGGGGUAUUGCAUAUGCACGCGUGAUUGUAUAUAAAUUAACUUAAAAAACAAGAAUAGUACUUGGUGCAAAAAUUAGUUGGGUUUCAUGUUUUCUCAUAAAUUUUGGAUAUUUAGUUUGACAAUGAAAUUGUAAUAGAGUAAACUUGAGAACAUAUAUAGUGUCAAUAUUUUAUAUUAUUUUCAUAUAAAUAAAAAUAUUUUUUAAAAAUAAAUAAAUUACAAACAAAUUCUUUUUGUGCAAUUAACCUUCAUCAGUCAGAGCAUAUCUAUUUUCAGUUGGUUACAUUAUAGUUAUAUAUCUUUAACAAUUAUCAACACAAGCUGCCAACAUAAAACCAUAACAUUCUUGUUACCCAACGAAUGAGAGAUUUAAUAUUACUCGUAAGUGUGACAAAGAAAUCUACCCAUAAGGUGGUCCAACUCUUCUUCUGAGUUAACAAAUAUAUAAGAAAAGCUCUCCAAGUAAAAUAUAUAAUAAACCCAUGAACACACACAAUUUUAAAGAGUCGUUAUCAAACAAAACCAGCUGAACAAUCUCUGAAACAAUUUAUAACAAAAAAAAUCAACAAAACUAACAUAAAAGCAAACGAAAAGAUAGUACAUAAUAAAUUAUUCAGCGAACAGAGAAGAAACAAGGCAAAGGGAGGAGAAGAAUAGAGGGGAUCGGGAAUAUUUUGGAGGUUUUGGAGAGAGAAAGUGAAAGAGGGGUUUCUCAUCAAACUACAACUCAUUCUCAAAUAAUAACACUCCAUAACAGCAGAACAAAUGUGCUUUGCUUUCUAUUUUUAACACCACCCACUAUAACCCAGAACAAUAUUCAUAAAUCAAAAAGUUGUCUAUCAACACAAACAAAUCUGCAAAUUCUAGGGUUUGGCCCUCAAAAAACAUUAGCCCUAAAAGGUCCAAUUUUUCAAAACCAAAACACAAAAUAUAAAACAAAAGGCCUAAUUCAACACUAAAAGCAAGAAAAUUCAUCUACCCACAUCUAAUUUUGUUACCUUGCAAUGAAUCGAAGGAUUUGUCGCGAGGAGAUGGGAAGCCUGAGCGAGGAGAUGGUCGGCGAGCGAGGAGAUGGUCAGCGAGCUGGGAGAUGGGAAGAGCAAGAAAGAGGCAGCGGGGAGAGCACGAGAGAGGCAGAUGGGUUACUCUUGUUUUGUCUGAGUCGAGGAGAGAGAAGAAAUAAGAGGCAGAUGGGUUCUUCGCU